GACGAACGCUGGCGGCGUGCUUAACACAUGCAAGUCGAACGGUGAAGCGCCUUCCUUUUUGGUGGGUGUGGAUGAGUGGCGAACGGGUGAGUAACACGUGAGUAACCUGCCCCCUUCUUCUGGAUAACCGCAUGAAAGUGUGGCUAAUACGGGAUAUUCUGGGUCUGUCGCAUGAUGGGUCUGGGAAAGAUAUUGUUUCGGUGGGGGAUGGGCUCGCGGCCUAUCAGCUUGUUGGUGGGGUGAUGGCCUACCAAGGCGGUGACGGGUAGCCGGCCUGAGAGGGUGGACGGUCCCACUGGGACUGCGACACGGCCCAGACUCCUACGGGAGGCAGCAGGGGGGAAUAUGGCACAAUGGGCGCAAGCCUGAUGCAGCGACGCCGCGUGAGGGAUGGAGGCCUUCGGGUUGUGAACCUCUUUCGCCAGUGAAGCAGGCCUGCCUCGUUUGUGGGUGGGUUGACGGUAGCUGGAUAAGAAGCGCCGGCUAACUACGUG
rnacentral:rRNA from 1 species